AAGCAGGCAGCGCAGCAGCAGUAGCAGCAGCAACCGGGCCGCCGCCGCCGCGGGGCUAAGAGAUUACGUUCAGCAAAAACUCUUCCAGGAAAGAGGCUCGAGAGCUCCCCUCCUAUCUCGCCAAGGGUGCUGACUCUGUCGCGCCACGCCACGUACCAAAAGGCUCGCGAAGAAAAACGCGGGCGAAGUUCAGCAUCCCCGAACAGAAAGGGAACUCAUUCCAGAAAGGGGGUUCACGGGUCUGAGGGUCCUUGGGUGGGGAAAGCAGUAUUGGAGGGAGAAGACAGAAGGGAUGGCAAGACAGAGGAAACCACGGGGACAAAAAGGAAGGGAUGAGGAGCCCUCUUACUAUAAAAGGGACUGACGGACGGGAUGCAGAGCAAUGGGCCCCCCUCGAAAAAUGGACUGGCAGGCCCUUCCGCACCCCCAAACAACCUCGCACCACCUGAAAGCGGGGAGCUUGAGUUUGGGGCUGCGUAGAUCAAAGCAGGGGACCACGUGGGAGAAUUUGAAGGGCUGAUCCUGUCCCGGUGCAUUCGCAGUAGCAAUGAUGCGAGAAUUCGUUUUAACCUCGUCACUGACUGGACUAGACUGUAAACUCCUUGGCGUCUGGGAUGGCUCAGCCGUGCCCAGCACCAAGUGCAGGCACUCAAACCCCUGUGGAGUAAGUGACUGGAUGAAUGAAUGCAUUGGAACUGUUCACUGAGUAUCUGUAACAAUUUUGAUCCCAUGGUUUGGUACAAAGAAUUUUAUUGCAGUAUGAAAUUAAAUGGUGUUUGUGUGUUUGUCUUGUCUUGGUCUAAGGUUCAAAACAGGCUAAUGUAUGUUUUCCCCUCCCCAACGUAGAGGAGUUCCACUUUGUCUCUGUGCCAGUCUCUAUCACAGAAUGCGCAAUCCUACCCUAAUUUAAAUGUCCACACCUUUUAGGGCAGGAACUGUUGCCCAGAAUACAUAGCCUGAAGCAUAUUGUGUGUUUACACAACGAUAGUCUUCUGGGCUUGGCAAGACUUCUCAUUCCCCAUUUGUCUGCCACUCUGCCUCACCACGACCUUCUGCAACCCCCACUUCUAUCUCCCCUGCCUUCCACCAUCACCAAAACCCCUCCACUGUUUCUUGCUUUCUCUUUCGUUAGUUCCUGGGGAGCCAGUUGCUAUGAGCACCUAGCCUGGCCUUAGAUGUUGAAAGGGCCAGUGUACACAGAAGAUACACACCCAGUGAUGGGUAAGAUGUUGCAACUAUACUGGGUCAUGCUGAAAUUGUGAAGCCUCAACUUCUUCAUGUGCAAGAGAAAUUAAUGUACUGUAAUCUCGAUGUCUGUGUUGAGGACCCUCCUUGUAAAUUCAAGUCUCUGGCCUCUGCCCUUUGAAUGGUAAACCCCCAAUUCUGAACACUCUUGUAUCCUGCUGAAAUUGUGAAAGCAAGCUCUGUAUUUAGAAAAUGCAAUCCCU
rnacentral:lncRNA from 10 species